ACGGCUCAGUAACACGUAGUCAACUUACCCUAUGGACGAGGAUAAUCUCGGGAAACUGAGCAUAAUACUCGAUAGAUCAUAAUGCCUGGAAUGGUUUAUGGUUAAAAUGAUUCGUCGCCAUAGGAUGGGACUGCGGCCUAUCAGCUUGUUGGUGAGGUAAUGGCCCACCAAGGCGAUUACAGGUACGGGCUCUGAGAGGAGAAGCCCGGAGAUGGGUACUGAGACAAGGACCCAGGCCCUAUGGGGCGCAGCAGGCGAGAAAACUUUGCAAUGUGCGAAAGCACGACAAGGUUAAUCCGAGUGAUUUCUGCUAAAGAAAUCUUUUGCAAGUCAUAAAACCACUAGUGAAUAAGGGGUGGGCAAGUUCUGGUGUCAGCCGCCGCGGUAAAACCAGCACCUCAAGUGGUCAGGAGGAUUAUUGGGCCUAAAGCAUCCGUAGCCGGCUCUGUAAGUUUUCGGUUAAAUCUGUACGCUUAACGUACAGGCUGCCGGGAAUACUGCAGAGCUAGGGAGUGGGAGAAGUAGACGGUACUCGGGAGGAAGUGGUAUAAUGCUUUGAUCUCUCGAUGACCACCUGUGGCGAAGGCGGUCUACUAGAACACGUCCGACGGUGAGGGAUGAAAGCUGGGGGAGCAAACCGGAUUAGAUACCCGGGUAGUCCCAGCUGUAAACUAUGCAAACUCAGUGAUGCAUUGGCUUGUGGCCAAUGCAGUGCUGCAGGGAAGCCGUUAAGUUUGCCGCCUGGGAAGUACGUACGCAAGUAUGAAACUUAAAGGAAUUGGCGGGGGAGCAC
rnacentral:rRNA from 1 species